AUUAAUAAUGAAAUGGUAAUGAUGAUUAUACUAAUAGCAGCAAAUAAUAGCAGGAAAAUAUUUCUCCUCUGGACACUACGUGACAGUUGGUAUCAAGGGAAUUCACUCGAGACCUAGUUUUCCUUCCCUGCCAGCUCACCUCAGCCGACCUAAGGAGAAUACUGCGUAGGGUAACAAAGGAAAUGUCUGCUGUUUGAAGAACCCGCUGUUUCAACUCUCUACGCAGCAUAUCAUCAUGAACAUGUUGAACUGCUCUCUUAACACUGUAUCACAUUUGGGGAUACCUCUCAGGAUCUGGAGGUUUGACUGGAAAGUUCCAUCAGGCACCUGAGUUCCUUGGUCUCCACCCCUGGGCGGAGCCAUCAUCUCUCCUGCAGUCCUGAACGCCUGAGGCUGAUUCUGGGUAAUCAGGUUGAGGAUUUAAGUUCCACUGAGACUCUCCUUCACUGCCAGUUUGUCAACAACCUCACUUUUCGCAUUCUGGAACAAUACAAAGGACCUCACCUGCCUGCCCUCCAGCCACCACUCACCACCUCGGACACAGCGGAACUCAGGUCAGCCAGCCUUUGCCACUACACACCUGGAUUCUCACCGCCUCUCCCUCAAAGUCAAGUUCACCCCUGCCAAGUUCAACGCACCCGCUCCAUCCCCGUCGCUACCUGCCAAUUCCCCAUUCACCCCACUGUCCCACGGCCACAUCAUUAGCAACACUUUGCCACGAAUUCACCUGUUGACCUAAUAAAUAAACACUGUAAAACGUACGAGCCAUCUCUGUUGUGGUUGUCUGCGUUUGAGUCCAGUUUAGCUAUCGGCCUGUGGCCAUUGUGACAAUACCACCUGAUAUUCCAACAUCCAUGAAUAAUUUACGGGCAUAAAAGUAGUCUUGCAGAUAUUCCCCCUCUUUCUGGAUACGCUGUAAAAACUGUAACUGAGCAGCUACCUAAGAAUGAAUACAGCUAUAAUUCUCAUUUAAAAUAGCAAAAAUCUUUACUGGAGUAUCUCUCCGACACUGCCUUCAGGAUGGUCCAUCACAAACAUCAGUUGUUCUGCUCUUGACAAAGGGCGACUCUCCGGACAUCUAUGCACUUCUUCAACCUACUGGUCAACAGUUAACAAGUCCACUGACAAUUUCUCAGUAAACUUCAGACAUUUAUGCGCUUGGGGCACAUAAACAUAACACACAUUUGGAGCUUCAUUUAUUGGGUUCAAAUUUGAUGGCGCAGUGGAGGGCCUGGCACUGGACCAGUCACCAGUGAGCAUUCCUGUAACUGGUCUCUCAAUUGUUCAUUUGCUCCUUUCAGCUACUGCAGCUCCUGCAGCUGCUCCAAGAGGGCCUGUACAUUGUCCAUAGGGUCAGUGAAUGAGGUUGAUUAUCACAGCUGUCCGUCCAACUGAUGGCUUUCCCUCCGUUGGAGAUGUUACUGUUUUUCCUCCUCUCAGUAUCAGCCAGGAUCAGCCAGCUUCCUUUUCUUUGGGGAAGCCAAGUGUUUCCCUAAGGAAAUGAUUGGUACCACUGCAAUCACCAUAAGCACCUAUGCAAGGCCCAGUUAACAUAAAAGCAGACCCAAAUGCAAAAAAAUCCGUUUUAAAACACGACCCUUACUCUAAAACAAACUAGGGAUAAAGAGCAAUAAAAGGAGAAAAGGAAACACUGUGACACAAUCACAUGUGCAGCCCAUCCUACAGACAGUACAAUAUAAAUUACAUGUCAGUGCAUUAACACAUUUUUUAUGUCAAAUAUAUAAAAUUACUGUACCUCCAAUCCACUGCUAUGUUUGCCACACAACUUGACU